AGCGAACGCUGGCGGCAGGCCUAACACAUGCAAGUCGAACGAACCUUUCGGGGUUAGUGGCGGACGGGUGAGUAACACGUGGGAACGUGCCUUUAGGUUCGGAAUAACUCAGGGAAACUUGUGCUAAUACCGAAUGUGCCCUUCGGGGGAAAGAUUUAUCGCCUUUAGAGCGGCCCGCGUCUGAUUAGCUAGUUGGUUGAGGUAUUGGCUCACCAAGGCGACGAUCAGUAGCUGGUCUGAGAGGAUGAUCAGCCACAUUGGGACUGAGACACGGCCCAAACUCCUACGGGAGGCAGCAGUGGGGAAUCUUGCGCAAUGGGCGAAAGCCUGACGCAGCCAUGCCGCGUAAAUGAUGAAGGUCUUAGGAUUGUAAAAUUCUUUCACCGGGGACGAUAAUGACGGUACCCGGAGAAGAAGCCCCGGCUAACUUCGUG
rnacentral:rRNA from 1 species